UACGGGGGGGGCAAGCGUUGUUCGGAAUCACUGGGCGUAAAGCGUGCGUAGGUGGUUCGUUAAGUCUGAUGUGAAAGCCCUGGGCUCAACCUGGGAAUGGCAUUGGAAACUGGCGACCUAGAGUGCGGUAGAGGGUAGUGGAAUUCCCGGUGUAGCAGUGAAAUGCGUAGAGAUCGGGAGGAACAUCCGUGGCGAAGGCGACUACCUGGACCAGCACUGACACUGAGGCACGAAAGCGUGGGGAGCAAACAGG
rnacentral:rRNA from 1 species